rnacentral:rRNA from 1 species
AAUAGAUACCCGGGUAGUCCACGCCGUAAACGUUGGGCGCUAGGUGUGGGGUCCGUUCCACGGGUUCCGUGCCGCAGCUAACGCAUUAAGCGCCCCGCCUGGGGAGUACGGCCGCAAGGCUAAAACUCAAAGGAAUUGACGGGGGCCCGCACAAGCGGCGGAGCAUGCGGAUUAAUUCGAUGCAACGCGAAGAACCUUACCAAGGCUUGACAUGGGCGGUAAUCCGGUAGAGAUGUCGGGUCCGUAAGGGCCGUUCACAGGUGGUGCAUGGUUGUCGUCAGCUCGUGUCGUGAGAUGUUGGGUUAAGUCCCGCAACGAGCGCAACCCUUGUUCCAUGUUGCCAGCACUUCGGGUGGGGACUCAUGGGAGACUGCCGGGGUCAACUCGGAGGAAGGUGGGGAUGACGUCAAAUCAUCAUGCCCCUUAUGUCUUGGGCUUCACGCAUGCUACAAUGGCCAGUACAAAGGGCUGCGAGACCGUGAGGUGGAGCGAAUCCCAAAAAGCUGGUCUCAGUUCGGAUCGGGGUCUGCAACUCGACCCCGUG